CUCCGUUUAGAUAAUGCUAGGAUGUGAUGGGGAAGCCCUUCGGGGCGAAGUAGCUGAUUUCACACUGUCAAGAAAAGCUUCUAUCGAGUUUAAAGGCGCCCGUACCGUAAACCGACACAGGUGGGUGAGGAGAGUAUCCUAAGGCCAGCGAGAGAACUAUUGUUAAGGAACUCGGCAAAAUGACCCCGUAACUUAGGGAGAAGGGGUGCCUGUCUAUGACAGGCCGCAGAGAAUAGGCCCAAGCGACUGUUUACCAAAAACACAGGUUUCUGCUAAGUCGCAAGACGAUGUAUAGGAGCUGACGCCUGCCCGGUGCUGGAAGGUUAAGGGGAUCUGUUAGAGCAAUCGAAGCAGUGAACUUAAGCCCCAGUAAACGGCGGCCGUAACAAUAACGGUCCUAAGGUAGCGAAAUUCCUUGUCGGGUAAGUUCCGACCCGCACGAAAGGCGUAACGAUUUGGGCACUGUCUCAACAAUAGACUCGGUGAAAUUGUAAUCCCGGUGAAGAUGCCGGGUACCUGCGACAGGACGGAAAGACCCCAUGGAGCUUUACUGUAGCUUGACGUUGGGUCUUGGUACUACAUGUGCAGGAUAGGUGGGAGACUAUGAAGCAUGGACGCCAGUCUGUGUGGAGUCAUCCUUGGGAUACCACCCUUGUAGUACUGGGAUCCUAACCAUAGGCCUUGAAUCAGGUCUUGGAACACCGUCAGGUGGGCAGUUUGACUGGGGCGGUCGCCUCCUAAAAAGUAACGGAGGCGCUCAAAGGUUUCCUCAGCACGGUCGGAAAUCGUGCGAAGAGUGUAAAGGCAAAAGGAAGCUUGAUUGCAAGACAUACAGGUCGAGCAAGGACGAAAGUCGGACUUAGUGAUCCGGUGGUACCGCAUGGAAGGGCCAUCGCUCAACGGAUAAAAGCUACCCUGGGGAUAACAGGCUUAUCUCCCCCAAGAGUCCACAUCGACGGGGAGGUUUGGCUCCUUGAUGUCGGCUCAUCACAUCCUGGGGCUGUAGUAGGUCCCAAGGGUUGGGCUGUUCGCCCAUUAAAGUGGUACGCGAGCUGGGUUCAGAACGUCGUGAGACAGUUCGGUCCCUAUCCGUCGCAGGCGUAGGAAAUUUGAGAAGACCUGUCCUUAGUACGAGAGGACCGGGAUGGACGUACCUCUGGUGUACCAGUUGUUCUGCCAAGGGCAUGGCUGGGUAGCUAUGUACGGAAUGGAUAAGCGCUGAAAGCAUCUAAGCGCGAAGCCAACUUCAAGAUAAGAUUUCCCACCGUAAGGGUAAGACCCCAGGAAGACUACCUGGUUGAUAGGUCGAAGGUGUAAGUGCAGUAAUGUAUUUAGCUUAUCGAUACUAAUAGGUCGAGGACUUGACC
rnacentral:rRNA from 1 species